UACGUAGGGGGCAAGCGUUGUCCGGAAUCAUUGGGCGUAAAGCGCGCGUAGGCGGCCAGAUAAGUCCGGUGUGAAAGUCAAAGGCUCAACCUUUGAAUGCCGCUGGAAACUGGCUGGCUAGAGUCCGGAAGGGGCGAGUGGAACUCCUGGUGUAGCGGUGAAAUGCGCAGAUAUCAGGAAGAACACCAAUGGCGAAGGCAGCUCGCUAGGACGGUACUGACGCUGAGGCGCGAAAGCCAGGGGAGCAAACGGG
rnacentral:rRNA from 1 species